rnacentral:rRNA from 1 species
UACGAAGGGGGCUAGCGUUGCUCGGAAUCACUGGGCGUAAAGCGCACGUAGGCGGCUUCUUAAGUCAGGGGUGAAAUCCUGGAGCUCAACUCCAGAACUGCCUUUGAUACUGAGAAGCUUGAGUCCGGGAGAGGUGAGUGGAACUGCGAGUGUAGAGGUGAAAUUCGUAGAUAUUCGGAAGACACCAGUGGCGAAGGCGAACUUACUGGACACAUAUUGACGCUGAGGUGCGAAAAGCGUG